rnacentral:lncRNA from 1 species
UUUGAUUCAUGUGUUUGCGUGAACUUUCCAGGAACUGUUUUGUGAUUUGUUGUUACAGUUAAUGUAGAUAUCAGAAAAGAUGCUUUGUCAUGUUAGGUGGCACCUGAAUGUCAAACAACAGUUAUACAAGGACUUGCAAUUAAUUUUCCCUUAAAAGUGAUGUAUUGUGUGCAUUUUACUUGUCAUGAAUAAAGUUCUUACCGAUUUUUUUUUUUCCCGCUUCUUUUUCAAGACGACUUUUAAUGCACUUGCAACACCUGUAAGAAGUAAACAAAAGUCAUUGGAACUUCCUAAGGAGGAAAAGAAGAAGAAGAAAGCUGCAACAGGUGGAAAGAAGACUAAACAUGAGAAACUAGAAAAGCUUGAGGCUCUUAGCAAAAGGCUACGGCUUUGCAUUAUGAGGCGAGUAAAACAUCAGAGGCAUCUCAGUUCAUGAUUUCCCUUGUAACAUAGAAAGGUGUUUAUAACUGUAAUGUCCCAUUCAUUUAGAGUUUUACUUUGUUAUACUGACCCAUGUUGGUUUAAAGGCAUAAGUUCUGUUUACGAUCUCCCGUUCCAGUUCGAUGUCAGAUUGGC